rnacentral:rRNA from 1 species
GGGUUGUGAGGUUAAGCGACUAAGCGUACACGGUGGAUGCCCUGGCAGUCAGAGGCGAUGAAGGACGUGCUAAUCUGCGAAAAGCGUCGGUAAGGUGAUAUGAACCGUUAUAACCGGCGAUGUCCGAAUGGGGAAACCCAGUGUGAUUCGUCACACUAUCGUUAACUGAAUACAUAGGUUAACGAGGCGAACCGGGGGAACUGAAACAUCUAAGUACCCCGAGGAAAAGAAAUCAACCGAGAUUCCCCCAGUAGCGGCGAGCGAACGGGGAGCAGCCCAGAGUCUGAAUCAGCUUGUGUGUUAGUGGAACGGUCUGGAAAGUCCGACGGUACAGGGUGAUAGUCCCGUACACCAAAAUGCACAGGCUGUGAACUCGAAGAGUAGGGCGGGACACGUGGUAUC